GACGAACGCUGGCGGCGUGCCUAAUACAUGCAAGUCGAACGCAGUGGGGGCGGGUGAGUAACACGUGGGUAACCUCCCAUCAGAGGGGAUAACACUUGGAAACAGGUGCUAAACAGAUACUGCUGGAUGGACCCGCGGUGCAUUAGCUAGUUGUUGAGGUAACGGCUCACCAAGGCCACGAUGCAUAGCCUACCUGAGAGGGUGAUCGGCCCCAAUGGUACUGUGACACUGCCCAGACUCCUACGGGAGUCAGCAGUAGGGAAUCUGCGGCAAUGGACGAAAGUCUGAUCGAGCAACGCCGCGUGAGUGAAGAAGGUUUUCGGAUCGUAAAACGCUGUUGUUAGAGAAGCGGUAUCUAAACAGAAAGCCCCGGCUAACUACGUGCCAGCAGCCGCGGUAAUAC
rnacentral:rRNA from 1 species